UACAGAGGUCUCAAGCGUUGUUCGGAUUCACUGGGCGUAAAGGGUGCGUAGGUGGUGGGGUAAGUUUGAUGUGAAAGCUCCGGGCUUAACCCGGAAAUGGCAUUGAAUACUAUCUCGCUUGAGGGUUGGAGGGGAGACUGGAAUUCUUGGUGUAGCAGUGAAAUGCGUAGAUAUCAAGAGGAACACCAGUGGCGAAGGCGAGUCUCUGGACAACUCCUGACACUGAGGCACGAAAGCUAGGGGAGCAAACAGG
rnacentral:rRNA from 1 species